rnacentral:lncRNA from 1 species
GUACAGAACUUUUUUUUAUGUAUAUACAUUUGACUUUUAUUUUGAAGAUCGGCACGCUUCCGGCCAGCAGGCAUGGCUGCGGGUCUGCAGUUGAAAACAACGAAGCUAUAAUUUAAGAAGACUUUAAAGCUGCAGCAGCAGAUCCUUCAGCCUGUUCUACAGCUCGAGGAGGAACCGGGCAGGAGCGGAGGUUUUAAAGAACUGCAUACCACCUUGCUACCAGUCCUCUACAGCUCCUCUAUAUGUCUUCUUUUCCAAAUGAUCCAAAUCCUCUUCCUUCACCAACAUUGCUGGAGUUGUGUUCAGUGAAGAGGUGAAUUCAGGCUACUGAGAGUAGAGUAAGACAUUAACUCCAUAAACAUGGCCUCCAGAAGUAAUUCAGAUACCGAGAAAACCUCAUCUGGUGCGCACCAGACGGACACAUCUCAAAGUAAAACGCAACACCGGCGCGUUUACACUGGAGAGAAACCACAUCACUGUUCAGACUGUGGGAAGGACUUCGCUUCUCGGGGUUCGCUCAAGAAACACCAGCUCAGCCACACCGGAGGGAAUCGGUUCGCUUGUUCAGAGUGUGGGAAGGAGUUUACCGCACAGGCUUCUCUCCAGCGACACGAGCUAAUCCACACCGGAGAGAUGCCGCACAAGUGCUCGGACUGCGGGAAGAGCUUUAAUCAACUGUGUUCCCUCCAACGGCAUCAACGUGUUCACACGGGAGAGAAACCUUUUCACUGCUCCGACUGCGGGAAGAGUUUUGUAAAUGGAAGUAGUUUUAAAAUACAC